ensembl:lncRNA
UUGUUUACCAGAGGAAGAACAGCAUGGAUCACAAGACUUAAAAGCGUGGUUUAAAAGGAGGAUUUUAUUAUUAACUAAAAACCCAUAAAUAACUACAAUAUUAAAAGUCCAGUUGGAACAAAGUACUAAAAGGAUUUAAGAAUUCGACCAGCCACUGCUGCUGGUCGGUCUUGCCCUUUCUUCUUGUUUCCGGUUCCGUUCCUUUCCUGGUUGCACCCUGCCUGCUCGUCCGUUGUCUGGCCGCCCUCUCGCUCGAUUUCCCGUGGCUUCUCCUGCCCGUGGCUUCACCUUUCUGUGGCCUUCCUCCCUGUGGCUCCCCCCCGCUGUGGCCUUCCUGCCUGUGGCUCCCCUCUCUGGGGCCUUUAUAGCAGCUGUGUUAAUUGGAGAGGGGAGGUCCUUUCAUUGUGUAAUGUGGUUGGCCAGGGCUCUCUGUAAUUGAUUAGUCCCUCCAGGUGCAUGUAAUUUACUAAAAGGUGGGUUAAUAUGUAAAAAAAUGUAAUCAAACAAACCAUGCAAAAAUGUAAUAAAACAAACCACGCUAAAAUGUAAAAUCAAGCCACGCUAAAAUGCAAAACCAAUAAUUUACAGAAACCACAAUGUCCCCCCUGCUGACACAUACAGUAUAUAAAAAUGCACGCUGUCAUAAAUAAACUCCUCUGAUUUACUACCAUUAGUAACAAUUUACAAUAUAAGACCCGUUUGCUGAAUAAAACACUGCACUGCGAGAGCAUGACGUGAUGGGCUAAACGUGGGCAUCCACGUGUGUCUCUUCUUAAUUACCUUUCUGAAAUUGAGGCUGACACCGUCUAAGUUGUUUGAAUUAAACGGCUGACUUAUAUUUGAAGGCUUUCUGAUGAAAUCCACCGUGCAGGAAGGUUUAACUCGAGAGACUUUCAGCAGCUGACGGACGGUGUGGUUGCCUGGAAACUGGUUUUGCCGUCGUCUCAGAACCGAGCUGCACAAAUAUAAACAGUUUGGUAACCGUAGUGAUGUUGACAGCCAGCUACAACCAUAAUUAUCCAUAAUUUUACCUAUACGGACCAGUGCAGGAGCUGUACAAAUCACAUUGAUCUUAAUGAGUGGCCGCCCGUGAGACGAGGGACGCAGGGACCGUCUAGUGCAAUGCAGAAAAACACAUUUCAGAAAUAUUCUUCUAUAACUUCACUAUUAUGAAUGGUAGCACCCCCACAAUAAUUCCAUAGGUCCAUGGCAUUGUACCUGUUCCACUACACGUUUUACUUGGUUUGAAAAUGUCUUUUGACAAUUUUCUAUGAAUAAUAUUCAACGUUUAUUGCAAACAACGUUCAAUAACUCCGCUGUUAUGGACUCUAGAACCACCAAAAUCAUGUCAUAUGUCAAUGGGCUUUCACCCAUUGUACUACACCUUCUACUUCGUUUGACUUCGUUGUCUUUUGACUAUUUUCUAUGAAUAUUAUUCAAUAUUUAUGGCAAAUAACAUUCAAUAACUCUACUGUUAUGGACUGUAGAACCACCAAAAGCAUAGCAUAUGUCCAUGGGAUUCUUCCUGUUGUAUUACACCAUUUACUUUGAUAAAGUUUUCCAUCCAUCCAUUGUCAAACCGCUUAUCCUGCACACAGGGUCGCGGGGGGGCUGGAGUCCAUCCCAGCCAACUUCGGGCGAUAGACAGGGUACAUCCUGGAUUGGUCGCCAGCCAAUCGCAGGGCAACACAGAGACACACAACCAUUCACACUCACAUUCACACAUCUACGGGCAAUUUAAAGUCCCAAUUAACCUGAUCCCCAGAGCAUGUCUUUGGACUGUGGGAGGAAGCCGGAGAACCCGGAGAGAACCCACGCAGACACGGGGAGAACAUGCAGACUCCACACAGAAAGGCCACUGGGCGGAAUCGAACCCAGGACCUUCUUGCUGUGAGGCAACAGUGCUGACCACCACGCCACCGUGCCGCCCUUUGAUAAAUUUUUCCUUGGCAUAAUUUUAAUUAACUUAAUUCUAAUGCAAUGUAGUGCGAUUACAUUUUGAAUUAAUAUACGCACAAGAUCUUAUAUAAAAUAAAUUUUUCUCCUUAAAAUAUGUGACCCAGCUGUCAUUGGAUAAAGUCUGCUAGUAUCAUUGGUUUGGUCAAAAUAG